GCUUAACACAUGCAAGUCGAGCGAGAAUCGUUUAUUGAAGGCUUCGGCUGGAAAUAGAUGAGGAAAGCGGCGAACGGGUGAGUAACGCGUGGGCAACCUGGCCUUAAGAAAAGGAUAGCCCCCGGAAACGGGGAGUAAUACUUUAUGAGAAUGAGAGAGGGCAUCCUACUUUCAUUCAAAGCGCAAGCGCUUAAGGAUGGGCCCGCGUAUCAUUAGCUAGUUGGUGAGAUAACAGCCCACCAAGGCAACGAUGAUUAUCCGGUCUGAGAGGGCGAACGGCCACAUUGGAACUGAGAGACGGUCCAAACUCCUACGGGAGGCAGCAGUGGGGAAUAUUGCGCAAUGGAGAAGAACUCUGACGCAGCAAUACCGCGUGAGCGAAGAAGGUCUUCGGAUCGUAAAGCUCUGUUAUCAGGGAAGAAGAGAAUGACGGUACCUGAUGAGCAAGUCCCGGCUAACUACGUGCCAGCCGCCGCGGUAA
rnacentral:rRNA from 1 species